GUGAUCGUCAGUGGCAAAAGGCAACUGCCGAAUGCUCAGGAGUGAAUGCUGAGCCGCCUCCUCGUAGUUUCUGCUGCUCCACAAGUUCAGAGAAACCUCUCUGGAAGAAGAUCAAGAAACCCACCAUAAGUCUUCUCCCCAGGGAAGUUUUAUGGCCAUGAACGUGAUGCAGAGAUCACUCAGGCCUUUUGAUCUGCAGGCCCCCAGGUACUGAACUGAACAGGACAGAGGAAAAGUAUUUCCUCCCUGACCCUGAGCAACUGGAGGCUGCUGUUAAG